CUUUCCUGGCUCGUUCCACACUCUCCGUCGAGAGGGUGAAAGAUUCUGCUUUUAUACAAUUUUGGAAACGGUGGUGGGAGGUGACCACACCUCGUUACAAUGAGUCAUAAGGCGUUGUCUAGCGGAUGUGAGUCUACUUCUAGGGGUGUGGCUCGCUAGCCAGCAAUGAGUCAUAGGGUUGUGGCUUGCAAUUCAUUACCUUAUAUGGUUAUGCGUGGCGUUCUGCUUCGACGAAGACUAGAUUCACUCGAAUGAGUCAUACAGAUCAUACAAUACUCGCAUCUCGCUCGGAUUCGUGUUUCUUACGCUGCGCAUAAUACAAUUCUAUCUUUCUCGAAUUCGUGAGUAACGCUUCGGCGCUUGACAUUCGAUAUUUAUAUUAAUUUUGGUCUACUGAUGCAGAGUUUAUGUGCGCGGUCAAAAUUUGUGUUUACCCGAACGAGUUUUUAUGUUCAUGAUCUAUAAUUGCCAAUUAUACGUCAUAAUGCAGACGGAGGUAUAUAUUUCGUUAAUUAAUUAGGUGUAGCAAAUUGUUAAAAUUUAUGUUUUCCAUAUGGGCUUGAAGAGGAAGGUUUAAACUUAAUUUACAUCCAAACGGGGUAUUUUUUGCAGACGUCAUUUAAGAGAUAUUAAGGGUUGAAGUUUGAAAUAGUCGAAUUUCGGGUAGUUGUGAUAGAAAAAUAUCAAUUAUAUGGCACAACUCCCAUGCUAAACUGUUAUACCGGGUGUCUUUCCCUUUGGAAUUUUUUGUAGCCUCAACCAGAGGAGUGACGAGGUUUUGACUUAUACAAAAGUUAUUAUGCAUAACCUGGGGCACAUGUUAACGGCUAUUAUUAGUGUGGUUAAUUAUUUAUUUAUAAUUGUUUAUAAAAAUAAGUUGCAAAAUCAAACAAUCUUGUAGUAAGUAUUUUUUCAUUAAGUCGAUCAGUUUUUCGAGAUGAUUUUGAUGACGUAGUUAGUA